AUUGAACGCUGGCGGCAGGCCUAACACAUGCAAGUCGAGCGAGCGGCGGAGGGGGGAGUAAUAUGUGGGAAACUGCCUGUUGGAGGGGGAGAACACCUGGGAACGGUGUAUAUUAUAGCGCAUCAUAUGAUAUGCGCAGAUGGGAUUUGCGAGUGGGUGGGGUAACGGCUCACCUAGGCGACGAUCCCUAGCGGGUCUGAGAGGAUGACCAGCCACACUGGAACUGAGACACGGUCCAGACUCCUACGGGAGGCAGCAGUGGGGAAUAUUGCACAAUGGGCGCAAGCCUGAUGCAGCCAUGCCGCGUGUGUGAAGAAGGCCUUCGGGUUGUAAAGUACUUUCAGCGGGGAGGCGUUACCCGCAGAAGAAGCACCGGCUAACUCCGUGCCAGCAGCCGCGGUAAUAC
rnacentral:rRNA from 1 species